AAAAAGGAAAACCCUGGGUUUUUAUAUCUAACUUUGAUUGUCCGUCUUAUAUGAAAUUUUUUUAUAAUUCGUAUUUUCAUUGUUGCUAGAUGAUAAAACAUGAUUAAUAUUUUAUGCACGACUUGUCUUUUUAAUUUUUUUUAUAAUUUGUUCAAAUAAGAUGAAUGAUCAAACGUUCGGUACAGAAACCAGGUUUUCUUAGA
rfam:Oryza nivara chromosome 4, whole genome shotgun sequence.